rnacentral:rRNA from 1 species
UACAGAGGUCCCAAGCGUUGUUCGGAUUCACUGGGCGUAAAGGGUGCGUAGGUGGUGAGGUAAGUCGGAUGUGAAAUCUCCGGGCUCAACCCGGAAAUGGCAUUGGGAACUACCUUGCUUGAGGAUUUGAGGGGGGAUUGGAAUACUUGGUGUAGCAGUGAAAUGCGUAGAUAUCAAGUGGAACACCAGUGGCGAAGGCGAAUCCCUGGAAAAUACCUGACACUGAGGCACGAAAGCUAGGGGAGCAAACAGG